rnacentral:rRNA from 1 species
CGCGCAGGCGGCCUUAGAAGUCAGGCGUGAAAGCCCCGGGCUCAACCUGGGAGGUGCGCUUGAUACUCUGGGGCUGGAGUACGGGAGAGGAGAGUGGAAUUCCCAGUGUAGAGGUGAAAUUCGUAGAUAUUGGGAAGAACACCGGUGGCGAAGGCGGCUCUCUGGACCGUAACUGACGCUGAGGCGCGAAAGCGUGGGGAGCAAACAGGAUUAGAUACCCUGGUAGUCCACGCUGUAAACGAUGUGCGCUAGACGUUGGAGGACCUAGUCCUUCGGUGUCGCAGCUAACGCGAUAAGCGCACCGCCUGGGGAGUACGGCCGCAAGGUUAAA